rnacentral:rRNA from 3 species
AACUUUCAACAACGGAUCUCUUGGCUCUCGCAUCGAUGAAGAACGCAGCGAAAUGCGAUAACUAAUGUGAAUUGCAGAAUUCAGUGAAUCAUCGAGUCUUUGAACGCACCUUGCGCCCUUUGGUAUUCCAAAGGGCAUGCCUGUUUGAGUGUCAUUA